rnacentral:rRNA from 1 species
AUAUCAAUAAGCGGAGGAAAAGAAACCAACAGGGAUUGCCCUAGUAACGGCGAGUGAAGCGGCAACAGCUCAAAUUUGAAAUCUGGCCCCCGGGUCCGAGUUGUAAUUUGUAGAGGAUGCUUUUGGCGAGGUGCCUUCCGAGUUCCCUGGAACGGGACGCCAUAGAGGGUGAGAGCCCCGUCUGGUCGGACACCGAGCCUCUGUAAAGCUCCUUCGACGAGUCGAGUAGUUUGGGAAUGCUGCUCAAAAUGGGAGGUAUAUGUCUUCUAAAGCUAAAUAUUGGCCAGAGACCGAUAGCGCACAAGUAGAGUGAUCGAAAGAUGAAAAGCACUUUGAAAAGAGGGUUAAAAAGUACGUGAAAUUGUUGAAAGGGAAGCGCCUAUGACCAGACUUGGGCCCGGUGAAUCACCCAGCGUUCUCGCUGGUGCACUUCGCCGGGCACAGGCCAGCAUCAGUUUGGCGCGGGGGAGAAAGGCUUCGGGAAUGUGGCUCCCCCGGGAGUGUUAUAGCCCGUUGCGCAAUACCCUGCGCUGGACUGAGGUACGCGCAUUCGCAAGGAUGCUGGCGUAAUGGUCAUCAGCGACCCGUCUUGAAACACGGACCAAGGAGUCGUCUUCGUAUGCGAGUGUUCGGGUGUCAAACCCCUACGCGUAAUGAAAGUGAACGCAGGUGAGAGCUUCGGCGCAUCAUCGACCGAUCCUGAUGUUCUCGGAUGGAUUUGAGUAAGAGCAUACGGGGCCGGACCCGAAAGAAGGUGAACUAUGCCUGUAUAGGGUGAAGCCAGAGGAAACUCUGGUGGAGGCUCGCAGCGGUUCUGACGUGCGAAUCGAUCGUCAAAUAUGGGCAUGGGGGCGAAAGACUAAUCGAACCUUCUAGUAGCUGGUUUCCGCC